rnacentral:tmRNA from 1 species
GGGGCGUUAAGCAUACCGAAGGCUCGGCUUCGAAAAAACGGAAACUAAAAAAAUAAACGACAACAAUCAACAAUCAUUCGCUUACGCUGCUUAAUGCGUAGCCGUCAAGCCCCAUUUUCCACGGGUGGGAAUCUUGGCGUCAGAUACGUGGAGAAACGAGUUUGGGUUAGUUACGCACCCAAAAACGGGAUUUAGUAACUUGGGACGAUAGGUCUGUUUGUGAGCGAAACCGUCCGACUUCUGGUCACAAAAUAAGUAUGUAGAAAGACGUUUUUAAUCAUAGUAGGACGCGAGUGCAAGUCUCGCCAUCUCCACCA